rnacentral:rRNA from 1 species
ACUCCUGCGGGAGGCAGCAGUGGGGAAUUUUGGACAAUGGGCGAAAGCCUGAUCCAGCAAUGCCGCGUGAGUGAAGAAGGCCUUCGGGUUGUAAAGCUCUUUUGUCAGGGAAGAAACGGUGAAAGCUAAUAUCUUUUGCUAAUGACGGUACCUGAAGAAUAAGCACCGGCUAACUACGUGCCAGCAGCCGCGGUAAUACGUAGGGUGCAAGCGUUAAUCGGAAUUACUGGGCGUAAAGCGUGCGCAGGCGGUUUUGUAAGUCUGAUGUGAAAUCCCCGGGCUCGACCUGGGAAUUGCAUUGGAGACUGCAAGGCUAGAAUCUGGCAGAGGGGGGUAGAAUUCCACGUGUAGCAGUGAAAUGCGUAGAUAUGUGGAGGAACACCGAUGGCGAAGGCAGCCCCCUGGGUCAAGAUUGACGCUCAUGCACGAAAGCGUGGGGAGCAAACAGGAUUAGAAACCCUGGUAGUCCCAUG